rnacentral:lncRNA from 1 species
AUCGUCUGCCGGGAAAUCACUCUGCUUGGCGGCUGCUUGGUCAUGCCGUCCGGAGUCAAGUUCUACGGCAGCUAGUGCUGCGCUGCGUGCUGCAACAACAACGGCAGGACAGGGAGAGAGCGUGAUACUAAGUAGUUCAGGAUUUCGCGAGACGACAGCCCAGUCUACCAGUCCAUUUGUGGCAUGGGGGAGCUUUAUUGACAU